rnacentral:rRNA from 1 species
AACGAACGCUGGCGGCAUGCCUAACACAUGCAAGUCGAACGAGACCUUCGGGUCUAGUGGCGCACGGGUGCGUAACGCGUGGGAACCUGCCCUUAGGUUCGGAAUAACUCCCCGAAAGGGGUGCUAAUACCGGAUAAUGUCUUCGGACCAAAGAUUUAUCGCCUUUGGAUGGGCCCGCGUUGGAUUAGCUAGUUGGUAGGGUAAAAGCCUACCAAGGCGACGAUCCAUAGCUGGUCUGAGAGGAUGAUCAGCCACACUGGGACUGAGACACGGCCCAGACUCCUACGGGAAGCAGCAGUGGGGAAUAUUGGACAAUGGGCGAAAGCCUGAUCGAGCAAUGCCGCGUGAGUGAUGAAGGCCUUAGGGUUGUAAAGCUCUUUUACCCGGGAUGAUAAUGACAGUACCGGGAGAAUAAGCACCGGCUAACUCCGUG